rnacentral:lncRNA from 1 species
AUCGGUGCAAACUACAUCGUUGGGCCAAAUCUAUGACGUCAGCAAAGCUGGGCUUCAGUCCUUGCCUCCCUUUUCCCCUGGUCAGGGUGCUCCUCCCCAAGACAGGAGGCUCCUCAUCCUUGCUCCCUUUCAAGACCACCUGCUGGGCAACCACCAUUUACUCAUUCAUGCUAAAGAGCCUGAAAAGACUAAUUUUGGAGAAUAUAUGUUGACUGUUCCAGCUGUGAGCAUGCUUCCUGCCCUCCCUCCAGGCUGCCCAGCAGUGCCACUGCUGCAAAUCCAGGGCGUACGAGUUUGUGACAUGAGGUGUCCUGCCCUGGCUUGGGGUCAGGCUGGUCCAGCUUCCCAGGACUUUCUUCCCUAACGGGUUGCUGAGAGGACGGACUGCUCACGGACAGCCGCUGAGGUGCAGAACCCACAGGCGGGGGACAGGCUCACUGCCAGCUGCCACCCAUGAAAGAAGACGUGGCUGGAAGUUGCUGUGAAAGGUGAGCAUGUUUGCACGAGAGUCAUACUGUC